rnacentral:rRNA from 1 species
UAGAGUUUGAUCCAUGGCUCAGAUUGAACGCUGGCGGCAUGCCUAACACAUGCAAGUCGCACGCGAAAGGGGGCAACCCCGAGUAGAGUGGCGGACGGGUGCGUAAUGCUUGGGAAUCUACCUCGUAGUGGGGGACAACCCGGCGAAAGCCGGGCUAAUACCGCAUACGAUCUACGGAUGAAAGCGGGGGACCGCAAGGCCUCGCGCUAUGAGAUGAGCCCAAGUCCUAUCAGCUAGCUGGUGAGGUAACGGCUCACCAAGGCAACGACGGGUAGCUGGUCUGAGAGGACGACCAGCCACACUGGGACUGAGACACGGCCCAGACUCCUACGGGAGGCAGCAGUGGGGAAUAUUGGGCAAUGGGCGAAAGCCUGACCCAGCGACACCGCGUGGGGGAAGAAGACCUUCGGG